rnacentral:rRNA from 1 species
CCUACGGGAGGCAGCAGGGAGGAAUAUUGCACAAUGGGGGCAACCCAGAUGCAGCGACGCCGCGUGGGCGAUGAAGGCCUUCGGGUCGUAAAGCCCUUUUCUGAGGGAAGAGCAAGGACGGUACCUCAGGAAUAAGUCUCGGGUAACUACGUGCCAGCACCGCGGGUCGG